GGACAGGUUUCAGCAGAGCUUCCAGACUAAGACCAGCUAGGAAGAAGGACAUGGCCACCUACCUCUGUAAAAAUUUGCCAUGAAAACCCUAUGAAUAGCAGCAGAGCAUUGUCUUACAUAGCACUGGAAGGUGAGAGGAUGGCGCAAAAAGACCGCACAGGGCUCCACACUUCUCUACACGUGGUUGCUAGGAGUCAGGAUCAACUGGAUGGCACUAACAACAGAAUCAUUCUGUAAAGGUUGCUUUCACACCUAAAUACGAGAGUGUGACGUCGAGAGUUGGUGUAAAAGACCAUAGGGCCCACAGGACAAAGAGAAUGGCUUCCUUAUGGCAGCCAUGACUGAAACUACAUCUGCCUCACCCUGACUUGUGGACAGUCAGCAGCCUGAUUCAAAUUGAAGAUCAUCUGGCAUGGGGCCUGACCUACUGAAAUAAGCAAAGUGCUAUUCUAUAAAAGGCAUGACAGACUGAAUACUUGCAAUAACAAAUAGUCCACUGCUUAUCCAGGAAACAAUGCACCUCCCACCCCCCGGCAUUGUUAGACACUCCAGAACUUCAAUAUGUCUUCCUUAUUCACUAGGUCCUGCUCCAAUUAGAGGGAAGUCUCAUCUCUUUCAGGAGUUAUCCCAUCCAUCUGGCAUGAGAAGUAGGCCCUAAUCCCAGCGAGAAGACAAAGUGCGUAAUAUGAAUGGUGAUGUAAGGCUCUAAGUAUAGUAGAAACAACAGUUGGAACAGUUGACAAUCCCAUACAUUUGAG
rnacentral:lncRNA from 1 species